AAAUAAGAAGCAAAUAUUGCAUUUAGUUUCGACCUAAAAGUCAGAUAAUAUAUUAUCCUUAUUUU